GCUUUUGUGGCCAAGUGGUUAAGGCGCCCGCUUAGUAAGCGGGAGAUCGCGAGUUCAAUUCUCGCCAAAAGCA
rfam:Bathycoccus prasinos genomic : chromosome_5.